rnacentral:rRNA from 1 species
CUACGGGUGGCUGCAGCAGGGAAUAUUGCACAAUGGACGGAAGUCUGAUGCAGCGACGCCGCGUGGAUGAUGAAGGCCCUCGGGUUGUAAAAUCCUUUUCAGGGGGACGAGGCAGGACGGUACCCUUGGAAUAAGCGUCGGCUAACUACGUGCCAGCAGCCGCGGUAAGACGUAGGACGCAAGCGUUAUCCGGAUUUACUGGGCGUAAAGCGUCUGUAGGCGGAAUGGUAAGUUGGGCGUGAAAGCUCCGGGCUUAACUCGGAGAGGACGUUCAAUACUGCCAAACUAGAGGGCAUCAGAGGAGCGUGGAAUUUCCGGUGUAGCGGUAAAAUGCGCAGAUAUCGGAAGGAACACCAAUGGCGAAGGCAGCGCUCUGGGAUGAACCUGACGCUAAGAGACGAAAGCUAGGGGAGCGAACAGGAUUAGAUACCCCCGUAGUC